rnacentral:rRNA from 1 species
AACGAACGCUAGCGGCGUGCCUAACACAUGCAAGUCGUACGAGAAAUCCCGGGCAACUGGGAGAGUAAAGUGGCGCACGGGUGAGUAACGCGUGGGUAAUCUACCUUGGAGUUCGGAAUAACACCUCGAAAGGGGUGCUAAUACCGGAUAUCGUCCCAGGGGUUUCGGCUCCGGGGAUGAAAGAUGGCUGAGGCUUGCAAGCUAUUGCUCCAAGAUGAGCCCGCGUACCAUUAGCUAGUUGGUGGGGUAACGGCCCACUAAGGCAAUGAUGGUUAGAUGGUCUGAGAGGAUGACCAGCCACACGGGAACUGAGAUACGGUCCAGACUCCUACGGGAGGCAGCAGGGAGGAAUCUUGCGCAAUGGGGGCAACCCUAACGCAGCAACGCCGCGUGAGUGAUGACGGCCUUCGGGUCGUAAAGCUCUGUCAGGCGGAAAGAAUGUUUCCAGGGUGAACAAUCCUGGAGAUUGACGGUACCGCCAGAGGAAGCACCGGCUAACUCCGUGCCAGCCGCCGCCGUAAUAC